rnacentral:rRNA from 1 species
UACGUAGGGGGCAAGCGUUGUCCGGAUUCAUUGGGCGUAAAUAGCGUGUAGGCGGCCAGGUAGGUCGGUUGUGAAAACUGGAGGCUCAACCUUCAGAGGUCGACCGAAACCAUCUGGCUAGAGUCCGGGAGAGGAGAGUGGAAUUCCUGGUGUAGCGGUGAAAUGCGCAGAUAUCAGGAAGAACACCCGUGGCGAAAGCGGCUCUCUGGAACGGUACUGACGCUGAGACGCGAAAGCGUGGGGAGCGAACAGG